UACGUAGGGGGCAAGCGUUGUCCGGAUUUACUGGGCGUAAAGAGCGCGUAGGCGGAAGUUUAAGCGGGGCCUGAAAGCCCCCGGCUCAACCGGGGAAGGUGGCUGCGAACUGGGCUUCUUGAGGGGGGUAGAGGAGAGUGGAAUUCCUGGUGUAGCGGUGAAAUGCGUAGAGAUCAGGAGGAACACCCGUGGCGAAGGCGGCUCUCUGGGCCCGCCCUGACGCUGAGGCGCGAAAGCGUGGGGAGCGAACGGG
rnacentral:rRNA from 1 species